GACGAACGCUGGCGGCGUGCUUAACACAUGCAAGUCGAACGAAGAGCGAUGGAAGCUUGCUUCUAUCAAUCUUAGUGGCGAACGGGUGAGUAACGCGUAAUCAACCUGCCCUUCAGAGGGGGACAACAGUUGGAAACGACUGCUAAUACCGCAUACGAUCUAAUCUCGGCAUCGAGGAUAGAUGAAAGGUGGCCUCUACAUGUAAGCUAUCACUGAAGGAGGGGAUUGCGUCUGAUUAGCUAGUUGGAGGGGUAACGGCCCACCAAGGCGAUGAUCAGUAGCCGGUCUGAGAGGAUGAACGGCCACAUUGGGACUGAGACACGGCCCAGACUCCUACGGGAGGCAGCAGUGGGGAAUCUUCCGCAAUGGACGAAAGUCUGACGGAGCAACGCCGCGUGAGUGAUGACGGCCUUCGGGUUGUAAAGCUCUGUUAAUCGGGACGAAAGGCCUUCCUGCGAAUAGUGAGAAGGAUUGACGGUACCGGAAUAGAAAGCCACGGCUAACUACGUG
rnacentral:rRNA from 1 species